rnacentral:pre_miRNA from 1 species
UCUUAUGGAUGAGUGAAGAAAGUGGUUUCUUGAGAUGCAGCCUACUCCUGGUGAAGAUGCUGUGAA